AGUGUUGUUUGAUAACAUAAUAAUUGUAAAGGAAAGUGUAACACGUUUUGGUGCAAAGAUUACAAAAUGAGUAAAAUCAGAUGUAUUCGUCCAUUCAAAGACAUUCAGUGUUCGAAAGAGCUGCGAUAUCUCACGGAUGGUAUCAUCCAAAAACUAAAGUCAAUUGGAUUUUCCAAGGUAUCCACAAUGAACACCAAGGAUUUUCGUAUUUGUUCGUCUUGCCGUCUACAUAUUGAUUCAAGAGCUCACCUCACCCAAAACGAAGAACAAAGCGUAGCCGGCGGCUCAAGGAUGCCAACUGUUCAGACCAUACCUGAUGUACCUGAUUCGCAAAGCUAUGAAAGUUUGGUCACGAUACCAUCAGCGUCAACGCUAAGCACAAUUCAAUCACAUGAA